AGCUUUUCGAAUCCGUGCUGAGAUUUCGUCAGAUACCAACCCAUUAGGGCUGAUCAGAAUCCCAAGAUAUGUGAAGUU
rfam:Schistosoma mattheei strain Denwood, Zambia genome assembly, scaffold: SMTD_scaffold0000441